UGGGGAAUAUUGGACAAUGGGCGCAAGCCUGAUCCAGCCAUGCCGCGUGAGUGACGAAGGCCCUAGUGGUUGUAAAACUCUUUCGCCGGUGAAGAUAAUGACGGUAACCGGAGAAGAAGCCCCGGCUAAUUUCGUGCCAGCAGCCGCGGUAAUACGAAAGGGGCUAGCGUUGUUCGGAAUUACUGGGCGUAAAGCGCGCGUAGGCGGCAUGCCAAGUUGGGGGUGAAAUCCCGGGGCUCAACCCCGGAACUGCCUCCAAAACUGGCAAGCUAGAGGAUGCGAGAGGUGAGCGGAAUUCCGAGUGUAGAGGUGAAAUUCGUAGAUAUUCGGAAGAACACCAGUGGCGAAGGCGGCUCACUGGCGCAUUUCUGACGCUGAGGUGCGAAAGCGUGGGGAGCGAACAGGAUUAGAUACCCCCGUAGUCC
rnacentral:rRNA from 1 species